UAUGUCUUUGGAUACGUUGCUCUGAAAUGAUGCUCUGUUCAGCAAUUAAUAACUAGCUCUGAAAUGAUGCUCUAGAAUUAGCUAAUUCCAUCUGAUUCUUAGUCGGUGCCUCGUUCUUUCCUUGGUUUUUUUUGCUUCUGUUGCCUCUGCUAUAUGAAAUUUGAGGUUCUUGAUCAAUCCUGGUGCUCUGGUGUCGUUGUUUUUCAGGUCCAGGGAGGGCACGAUGAUGAACCUGUCGAAUGGCUUUGCGUAAAAUUCAGAUUUUUAUUACUAAAAUAUUACUAAAAUUGCAGAUUCAGUCUGUUGCAAGAUAUGUCUAUGCAUGGAGUCAGGGUGUCAAUCAUGGAGCCAGGGUGUCAAGCAUGGU